rnacentral:rRNA from 1 species
AAAACUUUCAACAAUGGAUCUCUUGGUUCCGGCAUCGAUGAAGAACGCAGCGAACUGCGAUAAGUAAUGUGAAUUGCAGAAUUCAGUGAAUCAUCGAGUCUUUGAACGCACAUUGCGCCCCCUGGCAUUCCGGGGGGCAUGCCUGUCCGAGCGUCAUUGCUGCCCUUCAAGCCCGGC